AUCCCACUUAUGUACUGUAUGGUCCUCCAAGAUAGCCCUAUCCCACUAAUGUACUGUAUGGUCCUCCAAGGUACAUAGCCCUAUCCCACUAAUGUACUGUAUGGUCCUCCAAGGUACAUAGCCCUAUCCCACUAAUGUACUGUAUGGUCCUCCAAGGUACAUAGCCCUAUCCCACUAAUGUACUGUAUGGUCCUCCAAGGUACAUAGCCCUAUCCCACUAAUGUACUGUAUGUUCCUCCAAGGUACAUAGCCCUAUCCCACUAAUGUACUGUAUGGUCCUCCAAAGUAGCCCUAUCCCACUAAUGUACUGUAUGGUCCUCCAAGAUAGCCCUAUCCCACUAAUGUACUGUAUGGUCCUCCAAGAUAGCCCUAUCCCACUAAUGUACUGUAUGGUCCUCCAAGGUACAUAGCCCUAUCCCACUAAUGUACUGUAUGGUCCUCCAAGGUAGCCCUAUCCCACUAAUGUACUGUAUGGUCCUCCAAGAUAGCCCUAUCCCACUAAUGUACUGUAUGGUCCUCCAAGGUACAUAGCCCUAUCCCACUAAUGUACUGUAUGGUCCUCCAAGGUACAUAGCCCUAUCCCACUAAUGUACUGUAUGGUCCUCCAAGGUACAUAGCCCUAUCCCACUAAUAUACUGUAUGGUCCUCCAAGGUAGCCCUAUCCCACUAAUGUACUGUAUGGUCCUCCAAGGUACAUAGCCC